rnacentral:rRNA from 1 species
UACAGAGGGUGCGAGCGUUGUUCGGAAUUAUUGGGCGUAAAGGGCGCGUAGGCGGUGCGGUAAGUCACCUGUGAAAUCUCCUGGCUCAACUGGGAGCUUGCAGGCGAAACUGCCGUGCUGGAGUGUGGGAGAGGUGAGUGGAAUUCCCGGUGUAGCGGCGAAAUGCGUAGAUAUCGGGAGGAACACCUGUGGCGAAAGCGGCUCACUGGACCACAACUGACGCUGAGGCGCGAAAGCUAGGGGAGCAAACAGG